AACCUAGCACACCUGCGGUGUGUACCUGCGGAAGGAUCAUUACCCAGAGUUGUAGGCUUUGCCUGCUAUCUCUUACCCAUGUCUUUUGAGUACCUUACGUUUCCUCGGUGGGUUCGCCCGCCGGUUGGACAAAACUUAAACCCUUUGUAGUUGCAAUCAGCGUCUGAAAAAACUUAAUAGUUACAACUUUCAACAACGGAUCU
rnacentral:misc_RNA from 1 species